rnacentral:antisense_RNA from 1 species
GAGUUAGAAACCCUGCCUCUGUAUUCCCAUAGCCUGCUACAGACCUCCACGACAUCACAUGAAAGGUACCAGCUAAACAGAUGUGGGGUGAUUAACCAUCCACUCCAGGGAACACUUGUGGGAAGGUAUCCGUCAGUGGAGCAGGUUUGCAAAUACACGACACACGAGACUCGCCACUGGCCUUAAUGAAGCCUGCAUCAUUCAGUGCUGAAAGCAAACGAUGACGAGCUCCAUGAGGGCCAAGGCUGUCCAUUCCUGUUUACCACUGCACACUCAGGAGCUCAUGGCAUGCUGGCUGUGCUAGUUCUAUCCUCAACAGAAUAAUUGCUGACAAACUCUCUUGCCCAGAAAAUGUCUACUGGAAUUAUGGAGUACAAAAAAACUACAAAAGCAAUGAAAAAAAGAAGGAUGUUUUAUUUACAUCCUAUUUCAAAACCAUUGCUUUCUUGCUAUUGUAUGUCUCUGCAGGCCCAAUAUCGCGCAUCUUCAUAAGAAGUUUAGAAUUGUUCCUUAUGUUUCCUUCUAACAAACACUGGUAUAUUCACAUGAAAGUGUAUAUUUUUUUCACUUCCAAAACAGUUAGCUCAUAAUUCGGAACAUUGAGGUUUGCAAAAUGACUGAAGGAAACUUUACCUAAACAAUAGUUGCCAGUUCUGCUGAGAAUUAUCACGGGCCCACAACGGCUGUGUGUUUUUCCAUACAGAUAUUCUAAUUUUUUU